rnacentral:lncRNA from 1 species
UUCUUUUUCUUUUUUCUUUUCUUUUUUUCUUUUUUUUUCUUUUCUUUUCUUUUCUUUUUUCUUUUUAUUUUUAUUUUUUUCUUUUUCUUUUUUCUUUUUUUUAUUUUUUUUAAGGUGAAGUAUUUCUUAAUUGAAUUGAAAUUCACAGGAUUAGGCAGGUUCUUACCAUCAAUAUCGACCUCUUCUAGAGAAAGCCUUCUUUACCACAUAAGGUCCCUCUCAGUUUGGCAUCCACUUUUCUCUAAAGUCCUUUUUAUAUGGGAAAGAUCUUUUUCAAUACUAAGUCUUCCUCAUGGAGUUUCUGGGGUGAACCUUUUUGUUCUAAGCUUUCAUCAUUCGUUUUUGGUACAUCUGACCAUGACGGAUGACUUUCAACCUUUUUUCUUCAAUU